rnacentral:rRNA from 1 species
UACAGAGGGUGCAAGCGUUAAUCGGAAUUACUGGGCGUAAAGCGUGCGUAGGUGGCUGUUUAAGUCAGCUGUGAAAGCCCUGGGCUUAACCUGGGAACUGCAGUUGAUACUGAAUAGCUAGAAUAGGGUAGAGGGUAGUGGAAUUUCCGGUGUAGCGGUGAAAUGCGUAGAUAUCGGAAAGAACACCAGUGGCGAAGGCGGCUACCUGGACUCAUAUUGACACUGAGGCACGAAAGCGUGGGGAGCAAACAGG